rnacentral:rRNA from 1 species
UACGGAGGGGGCUAGCGUUGUUCGGAAUCACUGGGCGUAAAGCGCGCGUAGGUGGUCUUAUAAGUUGGAAGUGAAAUCCCAGGGCUUAACCCUGGAAUUGCUUUCAAAACUGUAGGACUCGAGAGUGGUAGAGGGAAGUGGAAUUCUUAGUGUAGCGGUGAAAUGCGUAGAUAUUAAGAGGAACACCGGAGGCGAAGGCGGCUUCCUGGGCCAUUUCUGACACUGAGGCGCGAAAGCGUGGGGAGCAAAC